rnacentral:rRNA from 1 species
AUUUAGAGGAAGGAGAAGUCGUAACAAGGUUUCCGUAGGUGAACCUGCGGAAGGAUCAUUGUCGAUGCCUCACAAGCAGUCCGACCUGUGAAUAUGUUUAUUAACUGCCUGGGAUUGGCUUGGGGUGUUGAACAUCCCGGCCUCCCUUGCGUUAGGAGGCGGUCAUGCCCUGGGUGGCUGUCUCUUAGCAAAACACAAACCCCGGCGCUUAAUGCGCCAAGGAAUUCAAAAUCGUUCAGUGCACUCCCAUGGACCCGGAGACGGUGCUCCUGUGGAUUGUCACGACGCAUGAUACAAAAUGACUCUCGGCAACGGAUAUCUCGGCUCUUGCAUCGAUGAAGAACGUAGCGAAAUGCGAUACUUGGUGUGAAUUGCAGAAUCCCGUGAACCAUCGAGUCUUUGAACGCAAGUUGCGCCCGAAGCCAUUAGGUUGAGGGCACGCCUGCCUGGGUGUCACACAUCGUUGCCCCAAUGCCAGUGCCCUGUGUUAGGCACGGAGCGGGGUGAACGUUGGCCUCCCGCGAGCAUUGUCUCGUGGUUGGUUGAAAAACGAGUUCGUGGUGGGGUGCACCAUGAUAGAUGGUGGUUGAGUAAUGCUCGAGACCAAUCAUGCGUGACUCUCUGCUAGUCUGGACUUUGCGACCCUUAUGCGUCAUUGGAACGCUCUUGACGAGACCUCAGGUCAGGCGGGGCUACC